UUAAUCAGCUGUUAAAAAGUUAACAGGCUCUGUCUAUUGACUCUCUAUUGAUUGAUAUUCUUUCUAACUUCACCUUAAAAAAACACUCUUACUUGUUGGCUUUUAACUGUGCCAAACAUGUUCUUCUUAAGCAUUACUGUAAGUAAUCUGCU